rnacentral:rRNA from 1 species
AUACGUAGGUGACAAGCGUUAUCCGGAUUUACUGGGCGUAAAGGGCGUGUAGGCGGUCUUGCAAGUCAGAAGUGAAAUUCCUGAGCUCAACUCGGGCGCUGCUUCUGAAACUGCAGGACUUGAGUGCUGGAGGGGAUAGCGGAAUUCCUAGUGGAGCGGUAAAAUGCGCAGAUUUUAGGAAGAACACCGGUGGCGAAGGCGGCUAUCUGGACAGUAACUGACGCUGGGGGGCGAAGGCGUGGGGACCAAACAGGAUUAGAUACCCUGGUAUUCCACGCUGUAAACGAUGAAUACUAGGUUUAGGGGGUAUCGACUCCCUCUGUGCCGCAGUUAACACAAUAAGUAUUCCGCCUGGGGAGUACGGCCGCAAGGUUGAAACUCAAAGGAAUUGACGGGG